rnacentral:rRNA from 1 species
CCUUUUAUAGAGAAAGGAAUGUGGAGGGG